GAAAGCGACUGUCUCUGUGCUAAGUAGUACUGCCGCAGGGAGUGCUGCGGACUGAUUCUAUCCCCUGCGCAGUCCUACUUACAACAGGGAACAUUUCUAAU
rnacentral:pre_miRNA from 1 species